rnacentral:rRNA from 1 species
AUUGAACGCUGGCGGCAGGCCUAACACAUGCAAGUCGAGCGAGUGGCGGACGGGUGAGUAAUGUAUGGUGAUCUGCCCGAUAGAGGGGGAUCAAUACUGGAAACGGUGGCUAAUACCGCAUUCUAUCGGAUGAACCCAUAUGGGAUUAGCUAGUGGGUGGGGUACAGGCUCACCUAGGCGACGAUCUCUCGCUGGUCUGAGAGGAUGAACAGCCACACUGGAACGUGGAAACGGCCCAGAUCCCGCCGGGAGGCACCAGUGGGGAAUAUUGGACAAUGGGGGCAGGCCUGAGGAGGACAGGCCGCGUGUAUGAAGAAGGCCUUAGGGUUUUAAAGUACUUUCAGCGGGGAGGCGUUACCCGCAGAAGAAGCACCGGCUAACUCCGUGCCAGCAGCCGCGGUAAUUC